CCCCUCAAUAUAGCAAUCGUAAAAGAUAUAUCAAUUUGGUCAUUGAAAAAAUAUUGCUAUUCAAGUAUUUCACAAUUUAAAAGUAAUUCAAGUUGAUCACAUUCAGAGAUAUUCAUUGAAAGUCAAAGUGUAUAUAUAUAUUCAAAAGAUCUUUGAGUACAAAGAUGUUUUAAUACAUAAAUGUUGACUUAGAGUACAAAAGACAUGGAUAGAAACUAUCCAAAAGUCAAACAGUCAACAUAGCAUUACAUGGCCUACAAGAUAUAUCCUAG
rnacentral:lncRNA from 1 species